CCUACCUACGGGGGGCAGCAGUGGGGAAUAUUGCACAAUGGGCGAAAGCCUGAUGCAACAACGCCGCGUGGAGGAAGAAGGUUUUCGGAUUGUAAACUCCUUUUAUCAGGGACGAUAAUGACGGUACCUGAAGAAAAAGCUCCGGCUAACUACGUGCCAGCAGCCGCGGUAAUACGUAGGGAGCGAGCGUUGUCCGGAAUUACUGGGUGUAAAGGGAGCGUAGGCGGGACGGCAAGUCAGAUGUGAAAACUGAGGGCUCAACUUUCAGACUGCAUUUGAAACUGCUGUUCUUGAGUGAAGUAGAG
rnacentral:rRNA from 1 species